CGAUUAUGUUAAGACAAUGUACACCAGAUUUACAAAGCUGAACAAUAAUCGAUUAUGUACCUUAUGAUAAUCGAUUAUAUUAAGGCAGUGUACAUUAGAUUUUUCAAAGCUACAAGAUAAUCGAUUAUGUACCUUAUGAUAAUCGAUUAUGUUGAGGCUAUGUCCAUCAGAUUUUUCAAAGCUAUAAAAUAAUCGAUUAUGCAUAUUAUGGUAAUCGAUUAUGUUGAGGCAGUGUCUAUC
rnacentral:lncRNA from 1 species